CAAAACAGUUUAUAGCCUCAUCACGCCUGAUCCCGUCUGAGCUCAGAAGCUAAGCAUUGUUGGGCCUGGAAAGCACUGGAUGGGAGACCAGCGGGCGAUAACAGGUGCUGUUUCAC
rnacentral:rRNA from 1 species